rnacentral:lncRNA from 1 species
GGAAAGAGACGAAAACAGGGGAAGAUAAGGGGAAAGAAAAAUAAAAGGGAAAACUAAGGAUUUAAAGCUUCAAGUUAAUUGGUAAGCUAAAUUUAGCCAUUUCCUCUUCAUUUUGAUAUUUUAAAAGCUUUAAAACAAAAUUUUGUUGAAGUUAAGUGGAGGUUUCAUAGGUUUUUGAACAUGAUUCAUUUUGAACAAGUUGUUAAAUUGAGGGUUUAUUUGAUAGAGUUUCUAGUUAGAGUUGAUAAAAGGAUUAAAUUGUGAACUAGACUAUAAGUUUUGAAUUUUAGGGAUUAAAUUGAGGAAAAUUCGAAAUUAGUGAAAAAUGCUGAAAAAUUAGUAGAUAAAUUUGAGUUUAGAAGAAAUUUGAAUAGAAAUAGAGUGUGAAUUAAGUUAGAAAAAUAAGUAAGCUUAGUUAGAAUUAAAUUGGGAAUAAGUAGGAAUUGAAUAAGAAUUUUAUUAUUAUUAUUAUUGUUAAUAUAAUUAUUAUUAUUAUUAUUAUUAUUGUUAAUAUAAUUAUUAUUAUUUUUAAUGAUUGUAAUUAAUAGUGAAAAUAAUUAUUACUUUCGUAGCUAACAAGGAAAACGAGGCAUCGGCAUCUAAAGGAAAAGAAAAGAUCGUUGAGGAGUAAACGCGUAUUCUGGGUUUGUAUUACUAUAACUUAAUCUAUUUAAUAAAUGCUAUAUUGAAAUUGUAUUCAUGAGACAUUUAAAGGAAGGUAAGUAUUAACAUUUGAAAUUAAGUAAGAAUAUGUGUGAAUAUUGAAUUAUAUGUGAAUUGAAAUAAUAGAUGUUUUGUAUUGAUUGAAUAUUUGAAAUUGUUGUGGAAAUGAAUUCGAAAUUGGAAAAGUAAAAUAAUACCCUAUUAACUUAUCGGACUAGAUUGGAUACAAAUGGCAUGCCAUAGGAUUUGUGAUGUGAUGAGGAGAUUUGUAGUUCGGCCGAGAAGAUGACUAUGUUAUUAUAUGCUUCGGUUUAUCCGAAGAGGCAUUAAAUGCCUUAUUGGUGUGUUUGAGAGGAUAUGAUAUACUGGUGUGUUAUGGAGGAUUUAAAUUAUUCCGGGUGUGUUUAGGUUGGAUAUUUUGGUGUGUUUGGGUGGAAUCCGCGUAUCUGUCAGAGUCCGAGCCUUGUUAAUAGGGUAAAUAAUUGAGAUGGAAAUUUGAAAAUGAGAUUAGUUGAUUUGACAUUAUUGAAAAAUAUGAGAAAGAAUGUAUGAUAUAAAUUAUGAAUUGAUUUAGUAUGUAAAUAUUUAAAUAUAUAAAUUUAAGAUUUAUGGAAUGAUAUAUGAAUAUUUAUAUUUAGUUUAAAGUGAUUUUUAAAGACUAUGGUCAAUAUUUGAAAUUUUAUUAUUAUUAAAUAGUUUAAUUUAUAGUAAUACCACUGAGUAUAAAAUACUCAGCGUACGGUUGUUUCCGUGCGCAGGUUGAAAAAUGGUUAGAGUCUCGGUUCAGCAUCCAGGACAAUCCCG